rnacentral:pre_miRNA from 1 species
GAAACAGCCCUAUGGAGCAGGACUUGCUUCAGUGGGGCUUUGGUGCACACUGAGUCUGCUUCUUGAGUGUGUCACU